ACAUUUUGCUUAGGCCUAUAGUAAAUUUAUUUUUUUUUAUUUAUUAAUGCCUCAAAGUUCAAAAUAUUUUAUAAUGUAAAUAUUUUGAAACACCUCUUCCAUCUUGUCAAAUGAUGAACACAGGUGUUGGAAAUAAUAAUCUGGGGCAGAGUGUAGAUAUAUGUAGCACUUGUUAAACUUUUGCUGUACACUACUACAUGAAUGAUGAUGUGUAGUUAAGGUCAUUUCGUUAUUAACCACUUUUACACACUGUGAACUGACACAUGCUGAUGUUUGCUUUGAUCAGAAUUAAACAGUUAAAC
rnacentral:sRNA from 1 species